rnacentral:rRNA from 1 species
GACGAACGCUGGCGGCGUGCUUAACACAUGCAAGUCGAACGGAAAGGCCCUGCUUUUGUUGGGUGCUCGAGUGGCGAACGGGUGAGUAACACGUGAGUAACCUGCCCUUGACUUUGGGAUAACUUCAGGAAACUGGGGCUAAUACCGGAUAUGAGCUCCUGCUGCAUGGUGGGGGUUGGAAAGUUUCGGCGGUUGGGGAUGGACUCGCGGCUUAUCAGCUUGUUGGUGGGGUAGUGGCUUACCAAGGCUUUGACGGGUAGCCGGCCUGAGAGGGUGACCGGCGACAUUGGGACUGAGAUACGGCCCAGACUCCUACGGGAGGCAGCAGUGGGGAAUAUUGCACAAUGGGCGGAAGCCUGAUGCAGCAACGCCGCGUGCGGGAUGACGGCCUUCGGGUUGUAAACCGCUUUCGCCUGUGACGAAGCGUGAGUGACGGUAAUGGGUAAAGAAGCACCGGCUAACUACGUG